GUCUGUUCCUGUGCUAUGAUUCAUAAGUAUUGAUUUGGCAAGAAGAGGCUUGGGUUGUGAUGUAAAGCCUCUUAUGAUUCAAUUGUCUAAAGCCUUAAUUACUUAAGCUCUCUGCAUGUAGGAUGAAUUGAAUCUCAGCAGAACUGACCAGUUUCAUUCAGGAAGGGUGACGAAGAUUGAAGAUCUGCCACUCACAAUACGCUUGGGACAAUUCCAGAGUUCAACACACCCACCAAGCUGCCCAUUAUUGGAACAUGGGAGAAAAUCAAAGAGCUCAGAGGAAAGUCACAUGGAGAACAUGCAAACUCUGCAGAGACAGCACCAGACAUCAGGAAGCGACGGUUGGGGCGGUGUGUGUGUCGGCUUUCAAUUUCAAACGCGGGGUUGGCUCGAGUCUGAUGGCAGUUUGACGCGACCUCCCCCUUCGCCCGCUACUCGGGACGGCUGGAGACACUCGCUAAAAGAAGAGAGCGCGCGUGGUCUCCAGAAUGAAACAGACGCUGUAUAUGUUUGUAUUUUUUUAUCAACAGUUUUCACCAUACGAUGUUAAUGUGGAAGAGUGAACAGUAAAUGGUUAACCUUACUAUGACUCUGUCUUCAUUGGCUCCGGUUUAACUUGGUGUUUAGUCAGAGUUUCAACACAUUGCAUGAGAACACUACAAUCAUCAAUAUGAAACAAUAACGCUUUUCUAUCCAUGCACGCAUGCAGCCUGACUCCUGCAUGUUUUUGGUAUUUUUCAUG